rnacentral:lncRNA from 1 species
UUUUAAUGUUUAUUUUCAGUAAUUAUCUCUUCGUCCAAUUUUGGAGUGAAAGAGCCAGCACGUGCAGAAAAAGGAAAGAAAGGUACAAAGAGUAAGUAACUAUUGACACAUUUUAAAUAUUGAGAAUAUAGUUAACCAAAGGAGUAAGGGGCGAUUUUGGUAUAAAAUUUCAGGUUUUUCUAAAAUAAAAUUUUGGACACUUUUAACAAUUUAAAUGUCUUCUUCAGUCGAUUAAACUAGUUUAUGUGAACAAUUUGAACCGAUUAAGUCAUUCAAGACGAUCCAUUGAAGCUUAAAUAAGAAAAAUCUAUCAAGUAUGCCAAAAUAAACUCAUCAUAGAUACCAGGAUUAAAAUUUGUAUGUUUAAACAUGACGCACAUUUCGUCUACAAAAGACCCAACUGUGACGCUCGAAUAAAAAAUGUUAAAAAAGCCAAAUAAAGUACGAAGUUAAAGAGCAUUUAGGAAGUAAAGUUUCUAAAAGGUUUGUCAAAUACAGCUAAAGUAAUCUAUUCCUGAGGUAGAAAAGCCUUUUAAAAAGUGAAAGGUUUGUUAACAGUGAAUUUAUAAUUAGUGACUACUAUUUGUGUUGACUACUAGGCUGGUGAUACCCUAGGGAAUUAAAACUCCACUAGCAGUGGCAUCGACCUAGUAGUUAAGUUAUUAGUCACUUUUCAGAUGUUUUUGUCAAAUAUGAUAGUUGCAAAUGCGUCCACUUCCGUGUAAGACGGAAACCGUCUAAAAUUGAACUCAAAAGCUAAAAUUGUGAUUUAGCAUGACUUAAUGAUGCUAAUACCCGAUAAAUUUUCAUUGAAUUGUAAGAAGCAGCCCAAAUUUUUGAUGCAAGCUAUGCUUUAUUGUAGUUUUAACAUGGGUAAGCAUUAUAUUCGUGAUUAUUUUUACCCGAGCAAUAGUAAGGGAUAAAAUAACACGAAUAUAAUGCCAAUCCAUGUUAAAACUACAAUAAAGUAUAGCUUGCAUCAAUUAUUUCGAUUCUGAUUAGGACAAGUAAGGUGAUUUCUAUGUCCGAUGUGUAUAAGUGUAGAACGUUAGUGAAGGCUCUUCCUUGAACCCCCCUUUUUAGCUCACCUGGACCGAAGGUCCAAGUGAGCUUUUCUCAUCACUUUGCGUCCAUGCAGCGUCCGGUGUCCGGCGUCCGUCGUCUGUCGUCGUCGUCGUCCGUCGUCGUUAACUUUUACAUAACAAAUCUUCUCUGAAAGUACUUGUCCAAAUUAAACCAAACUUGGCCACUAUCAUCAUUGGGGUAUGUAGUUUGAAAAUGUGUCCGGUGACCCGGCCAACCAACCAAUAUGGCCGCCAUGACUAAAAAUAGAACAUAGGGGUAACAUGUAGAUUUUGGCUUAUAUCUCUGUAACCAAAGCAUUUAGAGCAAAUUUGACAUGGGUAUAAAAUUGUUUACCAGGUCAAGAUCUAUCUGCUCUGAAAUUUUCAGAUGAAUCGGAGAACCCGUUGUUGGUUUGCUGCCCCUAAAUUCGUAAUUUUAAGGAAAUUUAUCCGUUUUUGGUUAUUAUCUUGAAUAUUAUUUUAGAUAGAGGUAAACUAUGAAAAGCAAUAAUGUUCAGCAAAGUAAGAUCUACAAAUAAGUCAAAUGAUCAAAAUGAUCAAUGGACCCCUUAAGGAGUUAUUGCCCUUUAUAGUCAAUUUUUAACAAUUUUUCGUAAAUUUUUGUAAUCUCUUACAAAAAUCUUCUCCUCUGAAACUACUAAUGCAAAUUUAACCAAACUUAUCCACAAUCUUCAUUAGGGUAUGGAGUUUAACAAUGUGUCCGUCGACCCGGCCAGCCAACCAAUAUGGCCACCAUGGCUAAAAUUAGAACAUAGGGGUAAAAUAUAGAUUUUGGCUUAUAAUUAUGUCACCAAAAUUUAGAGCAAAUCUAACUGGUGGUUAAAAUUGUUAAUCAAGUCAAGAUCUAUCUGCCCUGAAAUUUGCAGAUGAAUCGGAGUACCCGUUGUUGGGUUGCAACCCUUUAAUUAGUCAUUUUAAGGACAUUUUGCCGUUUUUGGUUAUUAUCUUGAAUAUUAUUAUAGAUAGAGAUAAACUGUAAGCAGAAAUAAUGUUCAGCAAAGUAAGAUCUACAAUUAAGUCAAAAUGGUCUAUUGACCCCUUCAAGAGUUAUUGCCCUUUAUAGUCAAUUUUACCAAUUUUUCUUAAAUUUUUUUAAUCUUUUACAAAAAUCUCUUCCUCUGAAACUACUUAGACAAAAUGUAACCAAACUUGUCAACAAUCAUCAUAACAAUAUCUAGUUUAAAAAAUGUGUCCGAUGACCCUGUACAAAGAUAAAUUCAUUAUUCUGUAUUUAGAGCAUGGGUUUAUUCACAAAGCGAAAGAAGCACGUCAUAUUAGAAUUUCCCAUAAAUAGCUAAAAGUUUAUAUUUUAACAUUUUUGUGAAACUGCUAUAAUUUGCGGUCAAAAGAGGGUCUUACUGACUUACUCCUUUAAGCUGACAUUUAAAAAAGAUAAAAACGAUAAAAAAAAUCAAUCAAGCAAAUAUAAUGUAAAUAGUCAAUAUUCAUAUUAACCUUUUCCAGGUUAUUCUAACACUAUAAGAAUCGCUUCUGCACUUAAAUUGAAAAUUUCACGCCAGGUAUAUAUAGCUGCAUUGAAAUGACAGUUUCAUCAAUAGUGCCAAUUGUAAUGCACUAGCGGAUCAAAUUAUUUUUCCACUUUUGUUACAGAAAAGAUUUAUAAUUUAAAAGAAAAUAUUAUCUACAAAGCUUUCAAAGGGAAAUAUCUCCGAUGCAAUGGACGUAUGAUAGCUACAAAGUGAUCAAAUGAAAGAUGUAAGUUCCUCAGAUAAUCUGAGUGGAUUAGCGAAAAUUGUAUCAAAUUAUAACAUUUCGUAGGCAUUAUUCCUGGCGGUACAAUGAAUGGAUUAAUUCUGCUAAUUAAGAUAUAAUAAUUACAUAAGAACCUAUAAAUAUUGAGGAGUUUAGGCUUAUUAAUACAUGCAAUGUCUUCUAAAACGAAUAAAUAACAAGAAUGUGUUCGUAGUACACGGACGCCCCAUCGGCACUGUCAUUUUCUAUGUUCAGCGGACCGUGAAAAUGGGAUAAAAUUUCUAAUUUGGCAUUACAAUCAGAAAGAUCAUAUCAUAAGCACCAUGUUUUCUAAGUUUCAAGUUGAUGGCACUUUAACUUCACCAAAAACUACCUCGACCAAAACUUUAACCUGAACAAACAGACAAACGGACGCAAAGACCAGAAAACAUAAUGCCCAUAUAUGGGGCAUGAAAAAAUCUCAAAUGAAAAUAUCUUAACAUACUAUUAUCACCGUAAUUCAAUCAAUCAAAUACAUACAAGAAUGCAAAGCAGUUGAGGAUAUAAAACCAUUGGCCAUUGCUAUGUCUCUGUAUCUUACCGAUAUUCAUGUGUAAUUACAGCCGCAACAUAAUUCAUAUUAUAAUAGGUCUUUUGAUUGGCACGGGGACACAGUCAUCGUUCUUUGAUGUUUGUUGACUACGAAUAGAGUCCCUAGUCAUACAUCUUCUAAAAUUAUUUCAAAAAAUUCUAUGCCUUUAAUCCAAAAACGGGGGAUAAAAAAGUUUAAUUAAAAAGAAAAAUGAUCUCCGAGGAAAAUUAAAAAUGAAAAGUCCGUAAUCAAAAGGCAAAAUUAAAAGCUCAAACACAUCAAAGAAAUUGAUAACAACUGUCAUACUUCUGAUUCGUACAGGCAAUUUAUUGUGAAGAAAAUGGUGGAAUAAACCUGGCUUUAUAGCUAGCUACAGUCCCAUAAAGUUCGAUUAAAUUUAGAACGAUGCGCAAACAAACAAACAUACAUAGUAGGAAAGAUUAGAUUACAUGUUAAAAAAAUAUUCGGGGCAUGACUAUUUUGAUAAUGAAGUGAUUUGUUCCUGUUUUUUAAAAGGUAAAAAAAUAGCAUGUCUUAAACUGUCACACUGAAUUACAUACCCUCUUAACAUAAAAUUAUCCAUAUUUUGAGUUAUAUAUAUACCUUUCUAUAAUGUUAAAAUAACUUGUUUAAAAAGUUGCACACUACGUUUUAAUGAUCUCUUUGAUAUAGAGCAGAUGCUAAUUAAUUUGAGUUUUUUGUCAAAACAAAAUGCACUACCUCGUGCUAACGAGCAAUAUUGGCUGAACAGGUCUAAUCAGAAACGGUGUCGUAAUUUCAUGUCCAAACAGUUUAAUCAAAAUGUCGGUAACAGGACAGAACGAAUCUUGAUAAAGACAUAAUUCUUUUCGGGAGCAACAAUAUUCAAAGCCAAAGUUAUAUAACGGUAACAAUUCCUGAACACAACAAUGCUUCUAAUGUUUAGGUAAUUUUCCCAGACCAUAUGUAAACGCUAAAAUAUACCAAUUUACAGCUUCUGGCCUACCCGAGGUUUCAGCUCGAAUAGACAUGAAACGACACAUGCAUUGUUUAUUGUUUAUCCGGUAUGAUGAUUAUGCCAAAAAAAAGAAGUUAUCUUCUGUCCAAAUUCCUCAAUGCGUCAAAAUUUUCAAACAAAGCAUCUGCAAAAUCCGUCAUUACCAUUUUUAAGAUAAAUUGUACUAAGAGGCCAAGCAUAGAUUUUCAGGAUAGAUAACCUUUGAAAAUCAAAUUGACAAAUUUUCUGUUUUUGUAAUUGCAGCGACCAUGCAGAAAUUGAUUUUCAUAACUAAUUGUCUGGCGAAAAAUCAAGCUUGCAUUAAAUCGCAUACAAACAGAUAAUUUUCAAAAGAUCGUACAAUAAAUGCUAGUUCUAUAGACCAAACGACGGGAUGCACAAGGGUCUCUGUGAAAACAAAACUAAAUUGAAAAUCAGUUCACAAUGUACCAAUAAAACUUCUAGUUUUAAAAACUAACAAAAAUAAUUGGUUUUGUUGAAUUUAUACUUUCCCUGCGACAUGCAGAAUACAAAAUACACUUGACUAGCUCAUAUACAGAUACUCAACACUCUCAUUGUAAAAAAUGAGGGAAUGAAAUAUAUAAUCAAAUCUUAUUUAGGUUGUUGCCACUGUUCCUCGUGGUGAUAAGGCAUUUAUAUUUGACCUAACUCAUCAGUAAAACAAUUGCAAUUAAUUCGGUAAUAAACGAAUCUUUCAAAAAAUGAAGCUUACUUAAAUGAAAGGUCAAAACCACUUCAUAUAGUCUUCGAUUUGAACAACCUUUUCUGACCAAAAUAAAAAAAAUGUUUUUUAAAAAAGAUUUUUUAUCAAUUUCUCAUUCAAGUAAUUGGAAGUUUUUGCCGUCACUUAAGGCAGCAGCUACAUUUUUGUAGUCGGCUUCAGUUUGCCCACUUACACAACCUUUUGGGGCUGAUUAAUGUUAAUAUGGGUACUGUAAACAGGGAAAUUUUCGCGGUAGUUUUAAUUUCGCUAUUUUCGCGGUAAGACGUGAAACGCGAAAGUAAAACGACCGCGAAAAUAUCAAGGAAAAACUCUUCUAAUUACAUUUACUUUUACAAAUUGUGACUUGGAUGGAGAGUUGCCUCAUUGGCAUUCAUACCACAUCUUCUUAUAUCUAUGUAUAUGAAUAAAAUAUCUAUAGGACUACUGUAUAACACGGAUUUCAAAGACGACAAAAAUAAAUGAUAACUGUAUCUCUUAAUGAAAACAAUGUUAAAAGUCAUGUCUUUAACUCAUAUCAGUUAUUUCACUGAAGCGAACAUUACGGAUAUUGUUAUGUAAACAACUAUCAUUAAAAUUAUGUUAAUGACACCUGUCAAUCAGUAAUAAAGGUAUCACCUCUUUGAAUCUACUACAAAGAUUGAUCAGAUUUAAAGAUCGAUUAAUUAGCAUUAAUCCUGACAGCUUUUUAUUUUAAUUUAUUCCUAAUUAGGUUUACUUUUCUAUUAUUGUGUAUGUGUUUUUACGAACAUUGAAACAUGCCAAACUUUUAAUCUACUUUAACAUUAAUGAACCGAAAACAAAAGAUUUCUGAUUGAUUUUAUCAUUUGAUUUAAGAUAUAUGUAAAGCUGUUCACUUUCCAAAUCAUUUAUGAAAAUAUUUAUCUAGGCCACUGGGAAAUCGCGAAUUCAAAACGGCACGAAUUAGGAUCGUGUAAGUAAAAAGCGAAAUAAAGACGGCGCGAAACUAUAAAUUAUAUGAAUAAGUAUGUUUUGUUCUUUUGUACAUAUAUUUUGAUUGUGUACUAUGUUUUUGAUUGGGUUAGUAGUGCUUCCCAAAGUAAUAGUGAAAAACUUAAAUUUUAAGAAUAUUAAAGUAAUAAAUAUAAAAUAUAAAAAAGAAGAUGUGGUAUGAUUGCCAAUGAAACAACUCUCCACAAGAGACCAUAAUGACACAGAAAUUAACAUCUACAGGUCACUGUACGGAUUUCAACAAUGAGCAAAGCCCAUAUCGCAUAAAAGACUGUUUCACCUGUAGGCACACUUAUUAUAUUUAUUUGUUGUUUUGAAUAUAAAAUAACAUUGUGUAUUCGAUUGAGCUUGGUGAAUUAGAAUAUAAUGAACAUGGAUCGUGGAAUGAAGUAUUGUCCAGUGUGAUUAUAGCUUUUCAAAUGACACAUGUCACCAAAUUCAUAUGAUAUUCAACCUUUUAUGUAGUAUUUGAAAAGAAAUCACUUCACCUAUUUGUACUUCCUUGAUCACUACACAGACAAUGGAUAAAGUACCAUAACUAUUCAUUAAUAGGCUUAAAAAUAUCCACGGAACAGCUAGAUAGAAUAUGAAACAGGCGAAAUAAAAAAGUUAGAUAUUUCAUCAUGUUCAUAAUGAAAAUUUAAAGAUUAAAAGAAUAAAGAAAAAUCAGUAAGGUACUAAGAAAAAAUUGACCGGAAUAGAUGGGCUCUUAGUGCGGAUAUGUACGAAUAAGUGAAUCGAAGUCACAUAAACUGAUGAAACCAUUAGUUCUUUCAAAUAGGUAUAAACCGUAAAAAGAUCAAAUUGAUUACAGACCAAAAGUUCACAACUAAAAUUUAAGAAGAUAGUGACGACAGUAUCGAAUAAGACACAAACAGUAUUUCAAAAGAUGGUCCAAUUAUUCGAUACUGCAAUUACAGAUAAGUGAUAAAUGAAACAGAAAAAUGAUUAUUAUAAUAGUAAUAGCAAUAAAUCAUUAGAAAGAACGAGGUUUGGUGUGACUAGGUUAGUCAAAUCUGUAAAAUUAUCAGGUAAAAGACAUGACUUAAUACAAUGGGCUGACGGAUCUACUCCUAGCUUUGAAUCAAAUUAAAUUUAUCAAUGUUAUUAAAAAAGAUCAACCGUGUUUCAAAUGUGUUUUAAUGGGGGAAAAAACGACAAUAGUCACAUGAUAAUUUUGAAGUUACCGUUCUUAAUUUCAAUCCUUUUAUAUUGUAGACAUGAAAAGGUAAAAUGAGUGAUGAUUCUACGUGUGGCGGCGAACUUCUCGGUUGGUGUAAACAGAAUAUCCAUCUUGUAUCUUGACGAAUGAAAUGCCAGCAAGUGACUGUUAUGAAAUCUGUAAAGCAACAUAUUGUUGAAACAUAAGAAUUGAUGAAAGAUAUCAUACUAUCCUCACCUACAAACACGUCACAGUUAAAGACAGUAAUAUUGCCUUUUUCGAAAAAUCGAGUAUGGACUGUUAAGAUCGUCAACAGAGAGUAACCUAUUACGUGUAGUAAACAACCAUGUAAAACAUAUUGGCAAAAUAAACAUAAUGACUGAUAUAAAAAUAAAACACCAUAGACGAGUUCUUCAUCAGAAAAUUAGUAAUUCUAGACUUGCUUUUUUGCGCCCGCAAAAUUUUGUCCUUCUGUCCGUCUGUCUGUCCGGCGUAAACAUGUCGCACCGUAACUUGAGAACAACUUAUCCAAAUUUCUUAAUAUAGUUGUUUCUUAUGAUGGUCAAACGAUCUGUAUACUUUUUGGUGAAAAUAAGAUUAAAACUUUUUGAAUUACGGGACUUUGUAACUUAAACAGGGGUGUGUUUUUUUCACAUGUCGCGCCGCAUCUCAAAAACUAUGUAUGAUUUUUGCUUAAAACUUUACACAUUUCUUAGUUAUAUUAAUCUAAAGUUCUGUAAACUUUUUGGUGAUGAUUCUAAAUUUUAUUUUUGAGUUAGU